rnacentral:lncRNA from 1 species
UUGUUGAUAUUGGAUACGAUAAGGUAAAUGUCUAAUUUCAAAUUUUUCAGUUCUUUGGCCACAUAUUUUCAUGGUGCAAACCUAUGAUGUGCCAACUUUGUAAUCACAAUCCAAAUUCAGAGCUGUUUAAAUCUUGUGUCCUUGCAUCCUCAACUGUUCAGGGUUCAACCUCUACAGGAAAAUCCAGGUUGCUGUCACUCUAACAGCCUCUUGUUUUGUCUUAUUAUUUUAAUUAUAUUUAGGAUCAAUUGUCAUUCACAUUUUAUUUUAUUUCUAUUAAAAAGGCCAGUGUGUGUAAUUGAUAUCAACUUUGUCCAUCAUCAGCGUUCUUGAUCUUGCAUAAACAGAGCAAAGAUUCCAAGUAAAAUAAACACUAUCAAAUGCUUACCUUCACAUAUCAAAACCAUUUUCAAUUGGAUUAUCAGGUUCUCUUCAUUUUACUGGGAUUUCCUCACAAUUUAUACUAAAAAAAUAAUGAUCUGCUGAACAACACACAUUUGAAAGUCAUUUGACCCAUUGCUAACAGUUUAAGAAAAAUAGACCAAAACACAAAAAGUUAACACAGCAAUGAACCGUGAAAAUGCGGUCAAGGUCAAAUAAAACCUGUGUCACUGACAUAUAGAUCAUAAAAUAUUUCCAUACAGCAAAUAUAGUUGACCUAUUGCAUUUAGUAUUAGAAAAAAAGACAAAAAUCAAAUCUUAACUGACCACUGAACCAUGAAAAUGAGGUCAAGGUCAGACAAC